ensembl:snoRNA U3 Small nucleolar RNA U3
AUGACUACACUUUCAGGGGUAAUUUCUAUAGUUCCUGACUUGGGAAAUGUGUUUCUAUAUGGAGUUAAAUCCAUAUUUCUAGAGUGUAUGGUCUCGCUGACCACGAUAAUGAGUUGCGAUGUUCCCUUUUAAGCAUAAAACCAACAGACAACCAUGAUUUUGUCAUGUGUUUUCUGUCAUUGAUGAAUGUUCGUUAUUUCUUUUCAGAGCUUUGACAAAGGGAAUAUGACCUGAGUGUU